GGUUCCUGCACCCCUAAUAAACAGAAUAUCAGUAUGAAUACAAUGGGGUUCCUGCACCCCUAAUAAACAGAAUAUCAGUAUGAAUACAAUGGGGUUCCUGCACCCCUAAUAAACAGAAUAUCAGUACGAAUACAAUGAGGUUCCUGCACCCCUAAUGAACAGAAUAUCAGUAUGAAUACAAUGGGGUUCCUGCACCUCUAAUGAACAGAAUAUCAGUAUGAAUACAAUGGGGUUCCUGCAACCCUAAUAAACAGAAUAUCAGUAUGAAU